CAGAGCUGAAGCCAAAAUAUCCCACAACAAUAAGCUGAAGGAAGAAUGGAAAAACUGGCCAUAUUAAAGGUUUAAUUUUGGUAUUCAUAACUCACCAUAAGACAGAACUGCUAGUACCCCAAAGAUGGUGAACCAGACAAUUAUACCAGUCAACCAUCGCAUCAGGACAAUCCAAAUAAAACAUACCACCAUGGCAGCCCCCAAAAACCUGAAAGAGAUUCAUCCAGAGGAGUGCUGUAAAUGUACUCACACUAACAGUAGCCACCACGAGGCCACCACAUCCUUGUAAAUUCUCUCCACCACCUCACUAGCAGACAUGAACUGAGCCAGCCAACUGAA